ACGGAUUAGAUACCCUGGUAGUCCACGCUGUAACGAUGAUCACUCGUUGUUGGCGAUACACCGUCAGCGACUGAGCGAAAGCAAUAAGUGAUCCACCUGGGGAGUACGGCGGCAACGCUGAAACUCAAAGGAAUUGACGGGGGCCCGCACAAGCGGAGGAACAUGUGGUUUAAUUCGAUGAUACGCGAGGAACCUUACCUGGGCUUGAAAGGGGAAUGACCUCCCGGGAAACCGGGAUUCUCUUCGGAGCGUUCUCCUAGGUGCUGCAUGGUUGUCGUCAGCUCGUGCCGUGAGGUGUCGGGUUAAGUCCCAUAACGAGCGCAACCCCUAUUGUUAGUUGCCAGCGGGUAAUGCCGGGAACUCUAACGAAACUGCCGGUGUAAACCGAGAGGAAGGUGGGGAUGACGUCAAAUCAGCACGGCCCUUAUGUCCAGGGCUACACACGUGUUACAAUGGCCGGCACAAAGGGCAGCUACUAGGUGACUAGAUGCUAAUCUCUAAAACCGGUCUCAGUUCGGAUCGAAGUCUGCAACUCGACUUCGUGAAGCUGGAUUCGCUAGUAAUCGCGCAUCAGCAACGGCGCGGUGAAUACGUUCCCGGGCCUUGUACACACCGCCCGUCAAGCCAUGGAAGCUGGGAGUACCUGAAGUCUGUAACCGAAAGGAGCGGCCUAGGGUAAAACCAGUGACUGGGGCUAAGUCGUAACAAGGUACCA
rnacentral:rRNA from 1 species